rnacentral:tRNA from 1 species
GCGGGGGUAGUUCAGCAGUAGAAUGUCUCGUUGCCAACGAGAAGGUCGCGGGCGCGCAUCCCGUCCCCCGCUCCC